ACGUGGCCAGCGCAGGCCGCCUUGGAGCCGGAUGGACCCCACGGAAAAUGCUCUGCCGGCGAAAGCGGCUGGCAAUGGGGUUGAUUUCAAGGCAGGGAAGAGCCAUCGCGCUGCCCUCCUCGGCUGGGAUGGCGAGACAGGGCUGGCACGGCUCACGCUGUCCGGUGCUCAGAAAACCGGUAAUCGCGGGCCCGAGGCGCUGCUCGCCGCCGUUUUUUGGCCCUGGGUUCCGUCGAGUGGAUCCAGCUUGUCAGUCUUUGUGUAGAUUUGGCUGCGUUCGCUCCGCACUUCGGAGGAGGUGGCGUUUCAUGGGAAGAAAUGCGCUCUAGCAGAUGGCCGCCGUGGCCAGUCAGCCCUGCUGCCACCGACGAAGACGCGGGCGACAGACCUGGACUCUAAAGAAAUCUGCACAGACGUGCCCGGCGCCCUCGGCCUUCCCAGCUCCGCGGCCGCAGCGACGCCGGUUAGGAUGUCGGCCCUGUGGGAGGGGCGCCCUUCCUGGUGCCGGGCCCUAACCCACGACCUGGAACAGCAGCUGGCCCGUGGCAAAUGCUGAGCAUAUCUCCUGAAAGAAUGGCUUCGCCGGUCCCUAGAGAAUGCACCCGAGUUUUGUGGUAUAUACACAUACGUACUUUUUUUCCAAGUAUAUUUUAUUUCUUGGCAAACAUGGCCCUUUGUGAUCGCUGUGUUUCUCUCCUCCCAUCCAUUAUACAACACUAAGUGAUUCAUCAUUCUUUGAACAAAUCAAACUGUUUCACACCUGCCAUGCAUUUGUACCGACCGUGCUCUUCCCUCUACUGCCGCAGCCCCCCAGGUAGAAGUCCUUUUUAUACUUCAAAAAUUCCCACCCAGGCAAAUUUCAAGCACCUUACCCCUACCCCAUCCCACUCUGCCCAUCUCUAAUUGCGCUGGUCUGAACCCGCACAAAUGUCUGUGUAGUUUCUGCACUUCAUAACAGCUUAUAUGACAGUUGCUCCAGCCAUUCUGUGAACCCCUGAGGGGAAGGGCCAGGUCUUGCUAGUCAUUUUAUUUCUAAUGUCUAUCAUCUGGUAGAUGUUUAAUAAAUGCUAAGUUGAAUAAUUCUAUCUUA
ensembl:lncRNA novel transcript, antisense to NOL7